rnacentral:rRNA from 1 species
UACGGAGGGUGCAAGCGUUAUCCGGAUUUAUUGGGUUUAAAGGGUCCGUAGGCGGACUGAUAAGUCAGUGGUGAAAGCCCUCUGCUCAACAGAGGAACUGCCAUUGAUACUGUUAGUCUUGAGUAUAAGUGAGGUUGGCGGAAUGUGUGGUGUAGCGGUGAAAUGCUUAGAUAUCACACAGAACACCGAUUGCGAAGGCAGCUGGCCAACUUAUAACUGACGCUGAGGGACGAAAGUGUGGGGAUCAAACAGG